rnacentral:rRNA from 1 species
AGCGAACGCUGGCGGCAGGCCUAACACAUGCAAGUCGAACGAACCCUUCGGGGUUAGUGGCGGACGGGUGAGUAACACGUGGGCACGUGCCUUUAGGUUCGGAAUAACUCAGGGAAACUUGUGCUAAUACCGAAUGUGCCCUUCGGGGGAAAGAUUUAUCGCCUUUAGAGCGGCCCGCGUCUGAUUAGCUAGUUGGUGAGGUAAUGGCUCACCAAGGCUACGAUCAGUAGCUGGUCUGAGAGGAUGACCAGCCACAUUGGGACUGAGACACGGCCCAAACUCCUACGGGAGGCAGCAGUGGGGAAUCGUGCGCAAUGGGCGAAAGCCUGACGCAGCCAUGCCGCGUGGAUGAUGAAGGUCUUAGGAUUGUAAAAUCCUUUCACCGGUGAAGAUGAUGACUGUAGCCGGAGAAGAAGCCCCGGCUAACUUCGUGCCAGCCGCCGCAGUAAAAC